rnacentral:rRNA from 1 species
UACGUAGGGGGCGAGCGUUGUCCGGAGUUACUGGGCGUAAAGGGCACGCAGGCGGUCGCGCAAGUUUGGAGUGACAGUCCUCGGCUUAACUGAGGAAGGCCUCUGAAAACUGUGGGACUUGAGGACCAGAGAGGGACAUAGAAUUCCGGGUGGAGUGGUGAAAUGCGUAGAUAUCCGGAGGAAUACCAAAGGCGAAGGCAGUGUCCUGGCUGGUCUCUGACGCUGAGGUGCGAAAGCCAGGGGAGCGAACAGGAUUAGAUACCCUGGUAGUCCUGGCCGUAAACGAUGACCACUAGAUGUGCGGGGUAUCGACCCCCCGCGUGUCGGAGCUAACGUUUUAAGUGGUCCGCCUGGGGAGUACGGUCGCAAGAUUAAA